AUGAACGCUAGCUACAGGCUUAACACAUGACAAGUCGAGGGGAAACGACAUCGAAAGCUUGCUUUUGAUGGCGUCGACCGGCGCACGGGUGAGUAACGCGUAUCCAACCUGCCCACCACUUGGAGAUAACCUUGCGAAAGUAAGACUAAUACCCAAUGACGUCUCUAGAAGACAUCUGAAAGAGAUUAAAGAUUUUAUCGGUGAUGGAUGGGGAUGCGUCUGAUUAGCUUGUUGGCGGGGUAACGGCCCACCAAGGCGACGAUCAGUAGGGGUUCUGAGAGGAAGGUCCCCCACAUUGGAACUGAGACACGGUCCAAACUCCUACGGGAGGCAGCAGUGAGGAAUAUUGGUCAAUGGACGCAAGUCUGAACCAGCCAAGUAGCGUGCAGGAUGACGGCCCUAUGGGUUGUAAACUGCUUUUUAUGCGGGGAUAAAGUGUGGGACGUGUCCCAUAUUGUAGGUACCGCAUGAAUAAGGACCGGCUAAUUCUGUG
rnacentral:rRNA from 1 species